UAUCCUACGGGGGGCAGCAGUGGGGAAUAUUGCACAAUGGGGGAAACCCUGAUGCAGCGACGCCGCGUGAGUGAAGAAGUAUUUCGGUAUGUAAAGCUCUAUCAGCAGGGAAGAUAAUGACGGUACCUGACUAAGAAGCUCCGGCUAAAUACGUGCCAGCAGCCGCGGUAAUACGUAUGGAGCAAGCGUUAUCCGGAUUUACUGGGUGUAAAGGGAGCGUAGACGGCGAAGAAAGUCUGAAGUGAAAGCCCGCGGCUCAACCGCGGAAUGGCUUCGGAAACUUUUUUGCUGGAGUACCGGAGAGG
rnacentral:rRNA from 1 species